CCACCGCCACCGGGCUCGCCUUUGGAGGUCAUUUGCUGGUGGCAGCAGUUCCCUCAGAAUAACCGGCCCAGGGUCGGUGGAGGAAGGUUCACUGCCUGUGCACAGCACCCGGGUGUGCUGUAGUUUCAGACGUUGCUGAUGCCCUGCACACAUUGCCUGCCUCGUGCCCUUUGCUUCAGAACUGGCAGUAAAGGUUCAUAAUCCUGCUAACGCAGCCGCAGCAGGCUGUAGCAAUUCCUCGCUUGUUCCCACGUUGAGAGCUUCCUUCUUACUACUGCACUGCGACUGGUUGUGGAUGGGUAAAAUGAGGGAGACCGUGGCUGUUGCUGAUCAAUGACGGUGGUUUUGCUCUCUCGGGCACUACCACACUGUGGACCCACCAGCUAUGGGAUCCAAGCCUGCCUUUUGCCAAGAGACCUGUGGUAAAACUCCCAGCUUCCAUUAUUCCUGUAUUAACAAGCAUGGCCUGCAGAGCAACAGAAGGUGGACUGAAAGCAAGGCAUUGAAAUCAGAUUGUACGCAAGGGUUUUUGACAGUGUCCUGAUGACCCCCUAGAGUCCAGCAUCAUGUGAGGAUUGGUGUCUAUAGCAGUCAGAGCUCAUCUCAGUCAUGCAAGGAAUCACUUUCCAAGGACAGUUUUCCUGCCAAUGGAGUUUGUUUGCUUGGUGGUGAGAAACAAUGGUCAACUCAGUUUGUUACUUGAGCAUUUUAGUGACCAAGAAGUAGAACCUGGCAUUGUGUGCUGAACCCAUCUUCUUAGCUAGGCAAAUGCCAACUUGGCAAGCCUGUCUGGAAAGCUGAUAGCACUGGGACAGGUGUGAUUGUGGAGAUUGGUUUUGACAGUCUCUAGUAAGUCUGCUUUUAAGGCACCUCUUUCCAUUGGAAAA